rnacentral:lncRNA from 1 species
UGUCUCUGCAACAAGAGCGCGGGGGGCUUUCUUGGAGUGAAAGCUGCUCCCCCACAGCAUGGACAGUGCCUGAGAUGAGGCCCAGAUGGCCCUGCAAGCCUGACGGGGGAGCCACAGUCUUCAGUCACCGUGCAGGUGAGCAGUGAGCACCUCCGGGCAUCAGAGAGUCGUGGAGAGUCGUGGGGCCUGGAUUCCUGUCCUCAGGAAGCCCUGGGCCUAAGAGGGGCAUCAGACAAGAUGGAAGUGCCCCACCAUGUGGCACGUGCUCACUGAGAAAAGGCACACAGGACCAGAAGAAAGACAAGGAGUUACGACACAGCCCGAGGGAGUCAGGAAAAUCAGCAGAGCAGAUGGUUUUCAAGCUGGCUCUAAGGGACAGAACAUCAGCAAGGAGACAUCUGGACCCCGGUAAUCACAGUCAGGUUGGUUAAGUACAAAGGGGGUGGGGCGGGGCAGUGAGGAAGGGGGUGGGUGC